CGCUCUUGCUUUGAAUUUUCAAUGAUCCUCAAGUUGCUUCAAUCUCCAACAAUCCAAUAGGGUUUAUGUUCUAAUCUAAUUGAGUAUUUUAUCUAAUCUAGUCUAUGUAAUCCCCCUUUAUUUUAUGCCUUUCAUCAUGUAUUUAUAGGUUACAAGUCCAAUUUUUAGCUUAGGAACAAAUCCAAUCCAAUUUGGAGUUAAAAAAGUGUCAAAAUUCGCCUCAAAACGCGUCCAAGCUUGACCAAGCCCUUUCCCAGCGCCCUGGCGCUGGGCGCGGCGCUGCCUUCUAGCGCCCCGACGCUGGAAAUGACCUUGGUUAGGGCGCCCCGACGCUAGGACAUUUAUUGAAAUUUUUUGCUCUGACGUCAUUUGGAAAAAUGGCCAUAACGUCUUCGUCCGAACUCCGAUUUUGAUGAUUCAAGAUGUUCUGGAAAGAGGAGACGUAGAUCUACAACUUUUAUUCUUUAAGUUUUUCGAAAUAAGGUCUGGAUAAAUGUUGAAAUUGGCCCUGAAGUGACUGCUAUGUAAAUGGCAAACCAAAAACGCGAAUCUAGCCACCCCAAACGUCGAUCCAAGUAACUUUUGUCCCAAUUCCUACAAAACAACAUAAAAAAUGCAUGAAUAGACACAAACACUUAGAAAUUUCCAAAAGAUUAUGCUCAAACGCACUCAAUUAUGGGUAUAAAACUCACUCAUCAAUAGUCCUACAUAUUCAGUGCACAUAAAUUUACCAAUUAGCCACGUAUAAAAGUUUCUCAUGAUUUACUUAACUCUAUUACAUGUUUUAUAAUGUCCAUUUCAUAAGAUUCGGAACACUAUUUAAGUUUAUUAACAUUUGACUCGGCGUUUCGACGUUCGUACGUCCUAGGCCCGACUUCUCUAUCCCGAAUGCCCAAUCGAUACGCCAUUGCGUAUGACUAACACAUCCCAACAUCCCAUAUACCUAACACUUCCUUGGUUUAUCUUUCUCUAGACUAUAUUUCCAAUUUCCAAGAUUUAUAACACGGAAAUACAAGUUAAACAUGAUUUGGCACCACAAUGGUCAAAAGAAACCAUCAUGGUUUGCCUUUUAUUUCACAAUAGUUCUAUAGAUGCCCAUUUUAGGUCUUGAUCCCAACCUCAAUCCUUAAAACUUAUUGAAUGAAAGUUGUAGGUCUACUCUUUAUCUUUCCAGAACCUCUUGAAUCGCCUCAAUCGGAGUUUUGACGAAAGAGUUAUGUCCAAUUUACUAAAGGAUGCCAAAGCUGUCAAACCCUAUUAUCAAAUUAGCGCCCCCCGCGUUACCCCGAAAAAGUUUUUAAGUGACUAUUUUGUCAAAUUUUCAGAUUUUGAUGAUUUCGACGCAUCUACUUCGUUCUUUCAUAACUUUCUCAAUCGAUAUUGGAAUGAGCUCAUUCUUGAGUCUCUUUCUCCGUUAUAAAAAAAUUUUCAAAUCCCCCCAGAAAGAAUAAUUUUUUCGUCUUUCUAUCUUGUUAGGAAUUUAGUUCAAACCCCCCCCUCUUGACCAUAUUUCUCACGUUUAACAUCUUUUAUAGAAAUUUUCGCCAUAACUUCAUUAUGACAGAUUUUUACUCUGUUCCAAUUGGAACAUUUACAUAACUUGACAUACUUUAAUUCUUUCUUUUCAGAAUUCAAAAACCAUUCUUAUAAAUACGCAUUAUAGUCCGAUUAAAGUCCACUAUUAGCUUAUUUCCAUCCUCAUGUUAGGGCUUAAAUCUUUUUGUCAUUUGAUUUGCUUGACAUAUAACAUUUUAAGGUGUUUUGAUGUUAUAAAACACUUAAACCUUAUCUCUUCAAGAUCCUUCAAUGAUCUUACACAUAACCAACCACCAACAUGCACUUCUCUUUAUAAAUUAAAGAAAAGCUUAAAGAAAAAUAUGAUUGAAUGGUUGAUUGCUCUUACCUUCUUUGCUUUCCUUCCUUAAGCUUUGAUUUAGGCUUGGAUUGGACUUGAUUUUGCUCUCCUUUCCCUCCUUGAUGAUCCGGCCACUCUCUUCCUUUUACUAGCUUUUUAGUUUUCUUUUUCUUUAAAUUCUCUAUUUAGCUUUCUC
rnacentral:lncRNA from 1 species